rnacentral:rRNA from 1 species
ACGGAGGGUGCGAGCGUUAAUCGGAAUCACUGGGCGUAAAGCGCACGUAGGCGGUGUCGUAAGUCGGAUGUGAAAGCCCUCGGCUCAACCGGGGAACUGCAUUCGAUACUGCGAUGCUUGAGUGCCGGAGAGGGUGGCGGUAUUCCAGGGGUAGGAGUGAAAUCCUGUGAUACCUGGGGGAACACCUGUGGCGAAGGCGGCCCACUGGACCGGAACCGACAGUGAGGAGCGAAAGCGUGGGGAGCAAACAG